rnacentral:rRNA from 1 species
UACGGAGGGGGCUAGCGUUAUUCGGAAUCACUGGGCUUAAAGGGUACGUAGGCGGUUAAUCAAGUCAGGUGUGAAAUGCCUGAGCUCAACUGAGGCACUGCGCUUGAAACUGAUUAGCUAGAGUAUUCCAGGGGUGUGCGGAACUUAUGGUGGAGCGGUGAAAUGCGUUGAUAUCAUGAGGAACACCGGAGGCGAAGGCGGCACACUGGGGAAUUACUGACGCUGAGGUACGAAAGCUAGGGUAGCGAACGGGAUUAGAUACCCGCGUAGUCC